rnacentral:rRNA from 1 species
UACGUAUGGAGCAAGCGUUAUCCGGAUUUACUGGGUGUAAAGGGAGCGUAGGUGGCCAGGCAAGUCAGAAGUGAAAGCCCGGGGCUCAACCCCGGGACUGCUUUUGAAACUGCAGGGCUAGAGUGCAGGAGGGGCAAGUGGAAUUCCUAGUGUAGCGGUGAAAUGCGUAGAUAUUAGGAGGAACACCAGUGGCGAAGGCGGCUUGCUGGACUGUAACUGACACUGAGGCUCGAAAGCGUGGGGAGCAAACAGG